rnacentral:misc_RNA from 1 species
AACGCAAAUUGCGCUCGAGGCCUCGGCCAAGAGCAUGUCUGCCUCAGCGUCGGCUAUACCCUCAAUCCAAUACCUAUGGUAUUGAUUGGAGCUGGCUUUCCGGUAUGCCUCAUGGGUUGCCGGUCAGCUGAAAAGCAUUCACGCUUCUGGUGCUGCUUUCCUGUCAAGGAAAGGCGAGUUCCGAUUUGGUAGGUGACCUUUGCCGGUUGCAUGCCUUCGUUGCCCGCCAUGCUCCCAGAUAGCGUUGCAGGACGCCUUUUGGCUUUCGACCUGAGGUCAGGCAAGAACACCCGCUGAACUUAA